AGUGAACGCUGGCGGUAGGCCUAACACAUGCAAGUCGAACGGCAGCACAGUAAGAGCUUGCUCUUACGGGUGGCGAGUGGCGGACGGGUGAGGAAUACAUCGGAAUCUACUUUUUCGUGGGGGAUAACGUAGGGAAACUUACGCUAAUACCGCAUACGACCUACGGGUGAAAGCAGGGGAUCUUCGGACCUUGCGCGAUUGAAUGAGCCGAUGUCGGAUUAGCUAGUUGGCGGGGUAAAGGCCCACCAAGGCGACGAUCCGUAGCUGGUCUGAGAGGAUGAUCAGCCACACUGGAGCUGAGACACGGUCCAGACUCCUACGGGAGGCCGCAGUGGGGAAUAUUGGACAAUGGGCGCGAGCCUGAUCCAGCCAUACCGCGUGGGUGAAGAAGGCCUUCGGGUUGUAAAGCCCUUUUGUUGGGAGAGAAAAGCAGCAGGUUAAUACCCCGCUGUUCUGACGGUACCCAAAGAAUAAGCACCGGCUAACUUCGUG
rnacentral:rRNA from 1 species